rnacentral:rRNA from 1 species
UACGAAGGGGGCUAGCGUUGUUCGGAUUUACUGGGCGUAAAGAGCGUGUAGGCGGGCCGUUAAGUCGGGGGUGAAAUCCCAGAGCUCAACUCUGGAACUGCCUCCGAGACUGGCGGCGUGGACCCAAGGAGAGGCGAGUGGAAUUGCGAGUGUAGAGGUGAAAUUCGUAGAUAUUCGCAGGAACUCCAGUGGCGAAGGCGACUCGCUGGACUUGUGGUGACGCUGCGACGCGAAAGCGUGGGGAGCAAACAGG